UUUAUUCCUGGUUAGGGAGGUGGGCUGCUACCCUUUCUUUUUCUUUAGAAAACUGUGAUUGAUUAAAUAAAAAGUCUUACUAGUAUAACAACUCUAAACCUGGGAUUAAAUGAAACAUCUAGUUUUGCCAUAAGGCUUAAUGCUCUUCUUUUGUUUAGCCAAGAAAAUGUUCUUAGCUGGAAAAGCAAUUUGGCUCGUUCACAAUUUAUCAGGACCAAUAUCUGGACUCAGUGUUCUCUAGGUUCGUGAGUGGUUGGGAGUUCAAGACGAGAAUAGACGGCAACACUGAAUAGGAGUUAUGAGAAUAGGAGGCAUGAUCAGUGAGAGAGCUGCACUCACCUGCAGACACAGUCAGAUGGCUUGUCAGUAUCUGCUCUGAGGAACCAGGUCCCAUCUCCCCACAAGGCAAAUCUAGACACACUGGAUUAUUACAGUGGGCUUUAUUGUUUUAGAAGUAGUUGGGGAUCCACAGGAACACUGUUCAUACAGGGAUGUUUGUGAAAGCAAAGGAAGAAUGAAAGCUUUCCAGAUCUCAGACUGGCUGGAUUCAGAUCACUGUUUUGGCUGGUUUUCAUUUUAAGGGGUAAGCAGUUUGCUAUUCUGUGACUUUAGUAGAUAUCUUUUGGUGUGCACAUAUACAGUGUGCAUUAUACAUAUAUAUAUAUGCACAAAGCAGAUGGGCAAAAAGAUUUUCAUGCUAUUCUUCAAAGGGUCAUGCUCAAUAUUGUGAAAAGCUUUUAAAAGUUGUUUUGAAAAGACAAUCAUUUUUUGUUUUUGUUUUGAUUUUUUGUGGCAAGCUAUACCGGAAAAGCGGCAUGUCAGAAAUACUUUAGGUUCUACAUAGAUCUCUCUCUCUCUCUCUUUUUUUUUUGUUAUAAAGGUUCAUUAUUUAUUUUACCUUUUACUGACAAUGUGAAACUCAAAGAAAAUGUUCUCUUUUUAAAUAUACAGUCAUAAACUGUUCAAGGUAACCAUAACAGACUAGGUGUUAUUUAUUAACGUAUUAUAAAAUACUGUUGAUCCAGUAUGUGCUUGUCUUAUUUAAAAUUGGAAUGUAAGACAUGUUUCUGUGACCUGUUUUUUUUUUUUUCUCAUUCACAUUUGUAGAUAUUGUGUGAACUACAGUAUAUAAUGAUAACAAUUAAAAGGAUAUUCUGUGGAUGUCACAUAUUUUGAAAUGAUAGCACUACAUUAGCUUUGUAUCAUGUUUGGAUAAUUCAUCAACGUUCACAGUUUAAAACAUUAAACAUUGUGUAAUUAGCAAUGAGAAAAAAAUCUUACUUAAAUUUGGGGGUUUCCCCCCACAUCUUUUUUCCGGAUACAUAAUAAUUCUGGACCCCUAUUUAUCUCAAAACUCUUAAUAUAUGCAGACCAACAGGUUUUUGCAUUCCUUUUAAAUAACUGGUGUGACAAAGCUUGUUGUUGAUCAGAUUCACUGUUUCAUCAUAUUUAUUGUAAUAUAUUUUUUGUUUUGUAAAUAUGUUACAACAAAAUGUGAUUGGUCUAAAAUAUUUGUAAUGUAUAUUAAAAAGUUCAAAAAUA